GGUCUGCUGGCUUAAUGGAAAAGCGUCUGACUACGACUCGGUAAUCAGAAGAUUCCAGGUUCGAUCCCUGGGUGGAUCG